CGGGAAACUAAAUCUAGCAGAUUCUCGAGGAACCGCACGACGCAGCCCACCACAACCCUUGGCCCCGCCCUCUUGCUCCUCCGCCCUCACGCUACUGGCUGCCCGCAGGCUAGACACGCCUACUCCGGCUCCGCCCCCUUGUCUUCGGAGACCCAGGGGAGCUGGGGUUCUGGCACCGAGUAGCGCUGGCUCUUUCCCAGCAGACAACCUGAGUCUUCUGAUUGGUCCUGGGCGGUCGUGGCGUGAUGACGUCGCGUCCUCGGGCGGUGUUCGCGGCCGGGUGCGGGGUUUGGGCUAACUGUCUCUGGUGGGGCUGUCGGUGCUCUGGCGUCCUGGGCAUCUGGGCAGCCCCACGCGCGGCAGCGGGAGCAGACUGGGACAGCGGAGCGGAGCGAGCACGGGCAGGCGGCUUCCCAGCACUGCCUCAGGCUCAAGGCUCCUCCGCGACCCGGGAGUAGGCUGUGGCGGAGGGUCAGGUCGAGUUCGCGCGCCUUUAUCUGCCUUAGAUUUGGUGAAAGUAUCGCGGCUUUGAAGAUAACCGUCUCUCACAGGCUUGGCUGAUGAUGUUUACAUUUUUAAGAUGAAAAAUCCUAUCAUUUGGUUCCCUGACCAGGAAGGCAGCAUGACUCCUGGGGUCCUCCCAGUUUGAGUCUCCCUGCCAAUUCACUGACUGGACCACAUCUUGGAUUAAUUCCUCAUUUAUCAACACGUGGGAGCUGCUCAACUUGUGGACACCAGCCUGCAAACAACACCGGCCUAAUUAAUUUACCUCAGCAGUGGCACUUGGGGCUCCCAAGACAGUAAAGCCAAAACAAGGUGGAGCUGCCUGAGCCCCUCCCAGACCAUGCUUCAAGUGCAGCAAAGAAGGACAUUGGGCAAGAGAAAGCACCAGUCUUGGAAUUCAUCACUGACUGACUUGUCCCCAAUAAGUCUAACAUGUGGGCAUUCACCAAUGAUAAAGCUGUCCUGGCUGAAACACCUGGCACCAGCCUCUGCAUGGGCAUCAACUGUCAUCCCAUCAACCUUCCUAAUCCCCAAUACGAUACCCCCUUUCAGCAGGAAGUAGUAAGAGAGAGAGAGACUUCGCCCUUUUCCUAACAAUAAAAAGAUGGGAAUGAAAGGAUUCUGCCCUAGAUAGGAUAUUAUAGCAGUGGGAGGCAGGACCAAGGCAUGUUUAGCUUGAGGUCACUUUCCCCUCACCUAUCCAACUUACCUGUGACAUGAAAAGAGUCCCAAUCAGCUAUUCACGCAUCAGCAAUGCCACCUUAAGCACCAUCUCAGUCAGAAACUAUAUGUAUGCCCCCUGCACCACAUGUCCAGUAAAGAAAGCCAGACUCCCAGUGGUCAUGGGGUUUCUCUCCGCGUUCUUAGAAUAAAGGCCACUUUAUUUAUUUAUUUUUUGUCUUUUUCUUUUUUAUCGGUACCAGGGAUCGAACUCAUGACCACACACUUGAAAGGCAGGCGCUUAUGCCGUUGAGCUAAAUCCCUAGCCCCAAGGCCAUUUUAUUUUAUAUUCUCUCUUUUUACCACGCUGAAAAUCGUAUUACCUUCUUCUUCUGGCUCAAGACCCCAUUUGUGUACCCAAAACCACAAAUGCUCAAGUCUUUUUAAUGCAGUAGAAUUGCAUAUAACCUAUGUACACUGUAU
ensembl:lincRNA